rnacentral:rRNA from 1 species
UUAAGUGACUAAGCGUACACGGUGGAUGCCUAGGCAGUCAGAGGCGAUGAAGGGCGUGCUAAUCUGCGAAAAGCGUCGGUAAGGUGAUAUGAACCGUUAUAACCGGCGAUACCCGAAUGGGGAAACCCAGUGUGUUUCGACACACUAUCAUGUCAUGAAUACAUAGUGGCAUGAGGCGAACCGGGGGAACUGAAACAUCUAAGUACCCCGAGGAAAAGAAAUCAACCGAGAUUCCCCCAGUAGCGGCGAGCGAACGGGGAGGAGCCCAGAACCUGAAUCGGCUUGUGUGUUAGUGGAAGCGUCUGGAAAGUCGCGCAGCAAAGGGUGAUAGCCCCGUACACUAAAAUGCACAGGUCGUGAGUUCGAUGAGUAGGGCGGGACACGUGACAUCCUGUCUGAAUAUGGGGGGACCAUCCUCCAAGGCUAAAUACUCCUGACUGACCGAUAGUGAACCAGUACCGUGAGGGAAAGGCGAAAAGAACCCCGGCGAGGGGAGUGAAAUAGAACCUGAAACCGUGUACGUACAAGCAGUGGGAGCACCUUCGUGGUGUGACUGCGUACCUUUUGUAUAAUGGGUCAGCGACUUAUAUUUUGUAGCAAGGUUAACCGUAUAGGGGAGCCGUAGGGAAACCGAGUCUUAACUGGGCGAAUAGUUGCAAGGUAUAGACCCGAAACCCGGUGAUCUAGCCAUGGGCAGGUUGAAGGUUGGGUAACACUAACUGGAGGACCGAACCGACUAAUGUUGAAAAAUUAGCGGAUGACUUGUGGCUGGGGGUGAAAGGCCAAUCAAACCGGGAGAUAGCUGGUUCUCCCCGAAAGCUAUUUAGGUAGCGCCUCGUGAACUCAUCUUCGGGGGUAGAGCACUGUUUCGGCUAGGGGGCCAUCCCGGCUUACCAAACCGAUGCAAACUCCGAAUACCGAAGAAUGUUAUCACGGGAGACACACGGCGGGUGCUAACGUCCGUCGUGAAGAGGGAAACAACCCAGACCGCCAGCUAAGGUCCCAAAGUCAUGGUUAAGUGGGAAACGAUGUGGGAAGGCACAGACAGCCAGGAUGUUGGCUUAGAAGCAGCCAUCAUUUAAAGAAAGCGUAAUAGCUCACUGGUCGAGUCGGCCUGCGCGGAAGAUGUAACGGGGCUAAACCAUGCACCGAAGCUGCGGCAGCGACGCUUAGGCGUUGUUGGGUAGGGGAGCGUUCUGUAAGCCGUUGAAGGUGGCCUGUGAGGGUUGCUGGAGGUAUCAGAAGUGCGAAUGCUGACAUAAGUAACGAUAAAGCGGGUGAAAAGCCCGCUCGCCGGAAGACCAAGGGUUCCUGUCCAACGUUAAUCGGGGCAGGGUGAGUCGACCCCUAAGGCGAGGCUGAAAAGCGUAGUCGAUGGGAAACAGGUUAAUAUUCCUGUACUUGGUGUUACUGCGAAGGGGGGACGGAGAAGGCUAGGCUAGCCGGGCGACGGUUGUCCCGGUUUAAGCGUGUAGGGGGUGUGACCUGGUAAAUCCGGUUNCCUCUAAGCUCCAGGUAACAUUAAAUCGUACCCCAAACCGACACAGGUGGUCAGGUAGAGAAUACCAAGGCGCUUGAGAGAACUCGGGUGAAGGAACUAGGCAAAAUGGUGCCGUAACUUCGGGAGAAGGCACGCUGGCAUGUAGGUGAAGUCCCUCGCGGAUGGAGCUGAAGCCAGUCGAAGAUACCAGCUGGCUGCAACUGUUUAAUAAAAACACAGCACUGUGCAAACACGAAAGUGGACGUAUACGGUGUGACGCCUGCCCGGUGCUGGAAGGUUAAUUGAUGGGGUCAGCCGCAAGGCGAAGCUCUUGAUCGAAGCCCCAGUAAACGGCGGCCGUAACUAUAACGGUCCUAAGGUAGCGAAAUUCCUUGUCGGGUAAGUUCCGACCUGCACGAAUGGCGUAAUGAUGGCCAGGCUGUCUCCACCCGAGACUCAGUGAAAUUGAACUCGCUGUGAAGAUGCAGUGUACCCGCGGCAAGACGGAAAGACCCCGUGAACCUUUACUAUAGCUUGACACUGAACAUUGAGCCUUGAUGUGUAGGAUAGGUGGGAGGCUUUGAAGCGUGGACGCCAGUCUGCGUGGAGCCAUCCUUGAAAUACCACCCUUUAAUGUUUGAUGUUCUAACUCGGCCCCAUAAUCUGGGGUGAGGACAGUGUCUGGUGGGUAGUUUGACUGGGGCGGUCUCCUCCCAAAGAGUAACGGAGGAGCACGAAGGUUAGCUAAUCACGGUCGGACAUCGUGAGGUUAGUGCAAAGGCAUAAGCUAGCUUGACUGCGAGAGUGACGGCUCGAGCAGGUACGAAAGUAGGUCUUAGUGAUCCGGUGGUUCUGAAUGGAAGGGCCAUCGCUCAACGGAUAAAAGGUACUCCGGGGAUAACAGGCUGAUACCGCCCAAGAGUUCAUAUCGACGGCGGUGUUUGGCACCUCGAUGUCGGCUCAUCACAUCCUGGGGCUGAAGUAGGUCCCAAGGGUAUGGCUGUUCGCCAUUUAAAGUGGUACGCGAGCUGGGUUUAGAACGUCGUGAGACAGUUCGGUCCCUAUCUGCCGUGGGCGUUGGAAGAUUGAGAGGGGUUGCUCCUAGUACGAGAGGACCGGAGUGAACGCACCACUGGUGUUCGGGUUGUCAUGCCAAUGGCAUUGCCCGGUAGCUAAGUGCGGAAAAGAUAAGCGCUGAAAGCAUCUAAGCGCGAAACUUGCCUCAAGAUGAGUCUUCCCUGGGCCUUUAAGGCCCCUGAAGGAACGUUUAAGACUAAGACGUUGAUAGGCUGGGUGUGUAAGUGCAGCGAUGCAUUGAGCUAACCAGUACUAAUGAUCCGUGAGGCUUAACCUU